AGGCUUGCCUCUUGGGGUUGUAGGACAUUCUAUACGGAGUUACAAAGGAACGAGGUAGACGAAGCGACCUGGAAAGGUCCGUCGUAGAGGGUAACAACCCCGUAGUCGAAACUUCGUUCUCUCUUGAAUGUAUCCUGAGUACGGCGGAACACGUGAAAUUCCGUCGGAAUCUGGGAGGACCAUCUCCCAAGGCUAAAUACUCCCUAGUGAUCGAUAGUGAACCAGUACCGUGAGGGAAAGGUGAAAAGCACCCCGGAAGGGGAGUGAAAGAGAUCCUGAAACCGUGUGCCUACAAAUAGUCAGAGCCCGUUAAUGGGUGAUGGCGUGCCUUUUGUAGAAUGAACCGGCGAGUUACGAUUACGUGCGAGGUUAAGCUUUAGAAGGCGGAGCCGCAGCGAAAGCGAGUCUGAAUAGGGCGUUUAGUACGUGGUCGUAGACCCGAAACCAGGUGAUCUACCCAUGUCCAGGGUGAAGUUCAGGUAACACUGAAUGGAGGCCCGAACCCACGCACGUUGAAAAGUGCGGGGAUGAGGUGUGGGUAGCGGAGAAAUUCCAAUCGAACCUGGAGAUAGCUGGUUCUCCCCGAAAUAGCUUUAGGGCUAGCCUUAAGUGUAAGAGUCUUGGAGGUAGAGCACUGAUUGAACUAGGGGUCC
rnacentral:rRNA from 1 species